AUUGAACGCUGGCGGCAGGCCUAACACAUGCAAGUCGAGCGGCAGCACAGUACUUGCUUCCGCUUACGGGGGCCGAGUGGCGAGCGGUGGCGAAAUACCUCGCAAUUUGCUUUUUCGAAGGUGCGGACAUAGGGAAAAUUACCCCAUACCCGCAUACGACCUACGGGGGGAAGCUUCGGACCUUCCGACCUCACACGAUUCUAUGUCGGAUUAGCUAGUUGGCGGGGUAAAGGCCUACCAAGGCGACGAUCCGUAGCUGGUCUGAGAGGAUGAUCAGUCACACUGGAACUGAGACACGGUCCAGACUCCUACGGGAGGCAGCAGUGGGGAAUAUUGGACAAUGGGCGCAAGCCUGAUCCAGCCAUACCGCGUGUGUGAAGAAGGUCUUCGGGUUGUAAAGCCCUUUUGUUGGGAAGGAAAAGCAGUAGGUUAAUACCUUGCUGUUUUGACGUUACCAAAAGAAUAAGCACCGGCUAACUUCGUG
rnacentral:rRNA from 1 species